AUUCAGCUGACGAGUCCUAAAUAGGGCGAAACGCGCGUCCUGGAU
rnacentral:hammerhead_ribozyme from 1 species